AUCCCAAUAAGCUUUCCAAUUCGUAAAAUCGUAUCAUGUACCAAUUUGGUACUAAUGAUACACGAAGAUUGUGAAUAUAACGCAUUCUAAUAUUCUGUUGUGAUAAUCUUAAAAUGCUAUUGGUUUAGUGUACUACUUUCAAGGUGGCAAGUUCGAUGCAUUGUUAGAAACUGUUAUUAACAGUUCGUAAUAAACUUAUAUGGAAGAACCGGUGAUAGGAGGAAGUUACCGAGACGACGAGAGCAGAGGUUGCGAGAGCGAAUCCAGCGAUUUUGACAGCGUCGGAGCAUUUACCGGCCAAGUCCUUGAAGUCAGAUUGGAAGGAACAUGUGAGGCGAGCAGAGGAUGUUUCUAGUCCGAAAGAUUUCCCGACUGUCUGAGUCGACCGGAGGUGAGCACUGCCGCGUGAAGGAGCGGUGGAGAUUUUAGCGGCCUGAAGGAACGUAGAGGCGGAUUGGAGAGAGGCAGCCAUGGCCACAAAGUCUCUCAAAAAAAUGUUUAAUGGUUGUCCUGAUCCGAAGCAGAGGAAAGACCUAAAACAGUAGUAACAUUCGUUAGGAGAGAGAGAGAGAUAAGAUUUGGGAUAAGGCGAGAAUUUUCAUUGGUUUGUUUUGUGGGAAUCGGAGUUACUGGUUUCUUCUCUUGCCACGUGUCCGAAUGCUAAGUGGUGAUAUGGAUACGGUCUCACUCACUGAUGCUGACAUAUACAAUUGUUGCAUUAAUUAAUUAAAAAAAAACUCAAAUGGCCCAUGCAGGUUUCGAACCUGCGACCUUCGCGUUAUUAGCACAACGCUCUAACCAACUGAGCCAAUGGUUCUUCGAUGCUUACAAAAAUUGUUAAUUACAUCUUCCUUGAGAAAAGCAAUCCAAGGAAGCAACGGUUUGCUACGUUCGGGUGUUUAAUCUACGACCGCUGUAAGGGACUGAAGCUUGGAAGCCCUUGAGCAGCUUAAGUUGACUGAACCACCGGUUUUCCUAGCGCCAAGUUCGAUAUCAGAGGUGGCUCGUGUUGCAUCAUCUCUUCAUCAAGUUGAAGCAGCACAGCUCUAAAUCUCCUAAUUUUGACGAGCUAUUGGUUGAGCAGCAUAAUCUGCAGUCUCUUUGCGUCAGGAAGUAAAGCGUUUUGCUAAUACCCCCUGAAGAGAUUGGAUAAAAACAACAGUUAUUGUUCAUGUCAGAAAUAAUUUUUUUUUUUUUUUUUCUUAACCUAGUAUAUUUAAUACUUUUCGUUAAUUGACUAUAAUCCGUAAGAUGGAAUUUAACAUGCUUCAGAGCAUGUGAUAGAUUGUACUAACACACACGCUUGUAGAAUCUACUGUAAGAAUAUCUUUGAAUUUGUGAUGAGUGUAUGCAAGAUCUGUAGUGUACGUUUCUGUAUGAAUCCGAUAUCUCUAGAUAUAAAAUAGAAUUGUCCCCGAGAAGUUUACAUAAUUUCAUUAUUCAUAUAUAUAUAUAUAUAUAUACUAGUUCUAGAGGUUUAAAACUUAAGAGAGAAUCUCUCUGAAAUCUGCAUUGUUAUGUGCUGUCCCACGCCAAUGAAGUUGUCUGUGUUCUUUCAUGUUUCGAGAUUUAAGACCAAGCACAGACCAAUAAUGUUUUAUUUAUAAGUUAAACACUGUUUUGUUUAAUGUUCACACCCAUGCACAUUAAAUACAGGGUAAGUAAGGUCCAUAAGGAGCAAGCUGAUUAGACUACAUUAUUUAUACGAAUUUAUAAAACCUAAUUUCCACUUGUUAUUCGCCAGUAUAUUAAACUAAUUUCAUAUAAAUAUAUCAAAAGGCAAACCAACUAAUUCAUUGAUUAUCAAAAUGGUUCGACUGCAAACUUAUAAAUUUAAAAAUUAUAAAAUAAUAAUAAUUUUGCUUUGAAGUUAUUUUCUUGUUCGUCUUGGAAACAAGCUGUAAAUAAAAUUACCACUGUAUUUAAGAAGCAUAAAUAAUAUUCUAUUUGUUUCAAAAAAAUGUAUGUUUUGAAUAUUUUUCAAAACAUUUUAAAUAUUGAUUAUAAAUGUAUUAUUUAUGAUUAAUUAGUUUCCACAAUUUUUUAGCAAAUCAAAAUUUAAUAAACACCGAUAAUUUUUCUCAAAAUUUACAAUUACCAUUAUUAGUUAGUAAAUAUACACUGAAAUUCAAAACAAGUUUUUUGUAGAAUAUAUAUAAUUUUGAAAAGGAGGGAAUAAUUCACAGUAACCUGGUUAGAGAUUACAUAACUCAUCAUAACUUACCAUUAUUAGACCAUAUGAUUAAAGUUAAAUAGAGGACUAUAUAUGGAUACAAAAAAAACUUAAGAUUUAGGGCAUGUGCAUUUUUUUAUAAUAGAAGAAGAAGAAACAUCAAAAGAUGUACUCAUUGUAAUCAAAUACAAAGAGAAGAUGUUUAGAUAUGAUAACAUGAUCACUCAAGUUGACCAUACCACACCCCUUGGAUCUUCACAUCCUUUGGUACCUUGGCACCCAAGUCAGUAUCCGACGGCUGAAGACUUUCGAACACUCCGAUCACUUCUCCUGUCUCGGAUUUGCUCUUUGUCACUUUCAAAGUGAUCUCUCCCACCGAAGCUGCCGUGUUCUUCACGUUCUCCUUAGAAAGCUCCUCUUCGUCGCCUCUGCCUCCAGCUGGCAAUGCAACGGCGUUGUCAUAUCCUGUGGAACCACCACGGCCCUUAGGGUCCAAGAAGGAGGAGCCACGGUAUGAAGGGACUAAGAAUUUGCCAGAGAAGUUGUCUGGUUUGCCAGAGGCGUCAAGCUGCUUGACGGUGAAGAGGAAUGGCACACGCUCGCCUCCUGGAAGCUGGACAGUGACAGCAGCGUAGUCGAUGCCGUCUUCUUCCUUGAAGUUAACGCUUCCGUCAGAAGAAACCUGCUCGAGAACCGAUUAUAAAAAGAAUCACAAACCCUAUUCGUAACCAAUAAAACAGACAGUUUCUUGCGGUGGAAGCAAAAAGAAAAAAAAGAAAAAGAAAAACCUCGAAGGGGCCUUCGAUCUCGUCAAGAGUGUAGGUGAGACGGGUCAUGAGCUUGGUGUUCUGGAAAUCAGGAGGCGCAUUCUUGCUAACACUCUCAGCCUUGACGGUGAAGGAAGUAGGCUCGAAGCAGAACUUCUUGCCAGCGUACUUUCCGGGUUUGAAGGAGAAAGUCUCGGAGCCACCGUCAAUAGUUGGGCACUGGUUGGCCGUUCCAGUUCCCUUAACUUCCAUGUAAGUCUUGCUCUGAAUCUCGUCGUAAGUCAGUCUCUUCGGAGCUCCCUCUGCACUUGCUCCCUUUCAUUACACCACAAACACAUAACAAUUUCAACUUAAUUGUGAUCCCAAUAAGCUUUCCAAUUCGUAAAAUCGUAUCAUGUACCAAUUUGGUACUAAUGAUACACGAAGAUUGUGAAUAUAACGCAUUCUAAUAUUCUGUUGUGAUAAUCUUAAAAUGCUAUUGGUUUAGUGUACUACUUUCAAGGUGGCAAGUUCGAUGCAUUGUUAGAAACUGUUAUUAACAGUUCGUAAUAAACUUAUAUGGAAGAACCGGUGAUAGGAGGAAGUUACCGAGACGACGAGAGCAGAGGUUGCGAGAGCGAAUCCAGCGAUUUUGACAGCGUCGGAACAUUUACCGGCGAAGUCCUUGAAGUCAGAUUGGAAGGAACAUGUGAGGCGAGCAGAGGAUGUUUCUAGUCCGAAAGAUUUCCCGACUGUCUGAGUCGACCGGAGGUGAGCACUGCCGCGUGAAGGAGCGGUGGAGAUUUUAGCGGCCUGAAGGAACGUAGAGGCGGAUUGGAGAGAGGCAGCCAUGGCCACAAAGUCUCUCAAAAAAAUGUUUAAUGGUUGUCCUGAUCCGAAGCAGAGGAAAGACCUAAAACAGUAGUAACAUUCGUUAGGAGAGAGAGAGAGAUAAGAUUUGGGAUAAGGCGAGAAUUUUCAUUGGUUUGUUUUGUGGGAAUCGGAGUUACUGGUUUCUUCUCUUGCCACGUGUCCGAAUGCUAAGUGGUGAUAUGGAUACGGUCUCACUCACUGAUGCUGACAUAUACAAUUGUUGCAUUAAUUAAUUAAAAAAAAACUCAAAUGGCCCAUGCAGGUUUCGAACCUGCGACCUUCGCGUUAUUAGCACAACGCUCUAACCAACUGAGCCAAUGGUUCUUCGAUGCUUACAAAAAUUGUUAAUUACAUCUUCCUUGAGAAAAGCAAUCCAAGGAAGCAACGGUUUGCUACGUUCGGGUGUUUAAUCUACGACCGCUGUAAGGGACUGAAGCUUGGAAGCCCUUGAGCAGCUUAAGUUGACUGAACCACCGGUUUUCCUAGCGCCAAGUUCGAUAUCAGAGGUGGCUCGUGUUGCAUCAUCUCUUCAUCAAGUUGAAGCAGCACAGCUCUAAAUCUCCUAAUUUUGACGAGCUAUUGGUUGAGCAGCAUAAUCUGCAGUCUCUUUGCGUCAGGAAGUAAAGCGUUUUGCUAAUACCCCCUGAAGAGAUUGGAUAAAAACAACAGUUAUUGUUCAUGUCAGAAAUAAUUUUUUUUUUUUUUUUUAAUUUGAACGGUUUCGAAAAUUUUGUUUGGAUUGGUGAUUUAGCAACAUGUCAUGUCCAAAAAAUCUUCCACAAUACAUGACAUCAAUUUUGUUCGAAUAGUUCGGAUUGGUGAUUUAACCUCGACCAACUAAACUUCCACAAAUCUCAACAUCCUACCACCUCUCCUAAUUAAUCUGAAAAAAAAUCCUUAAAACAACAUAUUGUUUAUCCAUAUAUGAAAUAAAAUACAACCAUAUAUUAUAAUUAGCAUAUGUUUAUCUUUAGAUAAAAUAAAAUAAAAACAUAUAAUAUAAUCUUUUCGUAGCUAGCAACCAAGCCUAAUUAAUGGUGGUAUGGUUGACACUUCUAGUUACUAGACUAUCUCGUUGCAUAGAACUUCUAUCACAUCCGGUGUGAUCAUCAUCCUUCCAGAAGCUAUUACUGAAAUCAAAGUCAAACGUUUUCUCAACCUGACAGUCGGUGGAAUGGGUCCAGUCCAAGAUCAACCUAUCUUCUGAUUUCUCAAUAAGUGUCACGGUGCACCACUGAUCUGUUCUCACGUUCAAUGCUUGGAGUUGGCAUACUGAUAGGUUUCUCCAGACAUCUUUCUCUUCAGCUCCUUGGCUUGUUCGUUGGUAAGCUCCAAUCCAGUAAUCAACGUUGUGAUUUGGUGUAUUGUCUCUGUGUAACGAAGCCAUUCCAUUUCACUAGUGUUUGCUGUCUCCUUCUCCAAAAUAGGAGCAAAUCUCUUGGCAGCUUCACUUUUGAUCUAGACCACAUUAUUGUUUCUAUUUCGUUUCUCAUAAUAAGAGAUCACCUACAUAUAUAUACUUAACAACAUGCCAUUGAAUUAAAUUAAUUGGAAAUCUAGUUGAAACCUCUAAUAUUACUUUUUAGUCUAUUUUUACAUUUUUCUUUCAACGUUUACUUUUACAUUAGUAAAAGUAUUUUUUUUUAGCAAUUUUCACUCAGUUACCUUAUUCAUAAUAUAGAAAACUCCAAUUGUUAAAUUUCUUGAAUAUGAUGAAAAUAAUAAAACGUGUUUGUGUUGAGGCUUUUAACUAACUCAUCACAACUGUAUCGAGCAGCCCCUAAAAUCACAAGCAUUAUAACUAGAGUUUAAAAAGUAAUCAGAAACUCUUAUUGUGAUUUGCCGGUUCGAUAUAAAUUUGAAUAUAGUAUAAACAUUCUGUGAAAGAAGCUGGAGUAGCUCAGUUGGUUAGAGCGUGUGGCUGUUAACCACAAGGUCAGAGGUUCGACCCCUCUCUCUAGCGUUUUUUCUUUUGGUCAACUGAAUUUAGGAGUCUAUCUUGAUGGCCCUAAUGAAUAGCAGUUUGAUAAUGGCUUGGGCGAUCAAAAACACAAAGUAAAUUUGUCCGAACACUUCCAUUUCAGAAAUUGUGAUGUGCCUACUUCAUGAGUAAUACUUGUAGUUGGAAAAUGCAGUUGUAGAUGGAGGCUUGUUAAAAAAAGUAACACAAACCGGCUAAUAACCGGCAUAUUGAGGAGUAAACCAAGGAAACCGUGAAAGGACUACGUACUUCUUCUUCCUCCGGCGAAAACCCUCAAAUUGGGAGAUUUAAUUUAAUUAAAUCAUCGAAGAAGAUGGGGAGAGCAUUGUACAGCGUAGGAUUCUGGAUCCGGGAAACAGGUCAAGCACUUGAUCGGCUCGGCUGUCGCCUCCAAGGCAAAAAUCACUUCCGAGAACAGCGUACGUCUUGAUUUGGAUCUUUCCACUCAUUUGAUUGUGAUUCGUUUUUCUUUUGUUUUCUGUCAUUAUUCAUUAGAGACCAGACUUCCUUAAAAAUCACUAUAUCUAGUAUCUUAGCUCUAUUUGCUUACUUAUUCCUAGGCUUAAGCUCCAAUCUUAUUACUGCAUUCAGUUGCUUGCUUGCUUCCGCAAACUCUUGUUUUUCUCUCUAAUAAAAUGUUUGGAUCAGACAUUUCUCGCAUUGAGGCUGGCCUCUGGCUUUUCACAUGCUCAUAUAAAGCAAGCAGCACUUGCUUCUCUAUUGGUUUCGUUUUAUACAUUAAAAAUAAUAAUUAACGUUUUGUGACGAGAAACAGAAGACAAAGUGGUAAUGGAGUGAAAUGGGAAACAAAGGAAUAGUUUUAUAACCCUCUACUUAUAUUUUCUUUGUCAUCUUUGAACCAGUUAAGUAGCACAUAAACUGCAAAACCCAGAGCAGAUGCAGCAGCAACCGUAAAUACAGCUACUUGUACGGAGAAUGAUGAGGCGAAAGGCUGGAGAACAAGUGAGUUCCAGGUUAUGUGCCACAAGGUGGAGUAAACAGAGCCCACGAUUGCACCCACCACCACUUGACUGGCGGUGUGAAGCUUCUGGGAAACCCUCAACCAUACAAAGUAAGAAGCCAAAGCAAGGAUGAGAGAAAGAGAGAUGGGAAAGGGUGAGAGAGAGAGAGUGUUACCAGAGAAGAGAGAGAUGAAAGAAAUGGACUGAGCAUGAGAAGAAGGCAUCCCAGGGUCAGAACGCAGAGUUGCAACAGGUCUCUGUUGGUUAAGGAUGCGUUUGAGAGCUACGGAAAGGGCGGAAUUGGAAACGGAGCCAAUGACAGCCCACAAGGCUGCACCAUCAUGUCGUAGAAGCAGAACCGAUCCAAACACAGCAGCUACCACCCAUUUGCUCUGUGUACACACUUUUGUAUUUCAUUUACAUCUAAACAUAUUUAUCAGAGAAUUCGAAUACAAACCAGACGAUUAGCGACGGCGUUGAUCCCACCGGAGACCAAAUCGUUGGACGGACUAAAACCCUCUUGCUCCAACGCCUGAAACCCUUCUUCCCCGUCUAUGUCUCUCCAAGCAUGGGUUUUGACUAGAUCGGCCAUAGUUUUAGGAGGAGGAGCAGAGAAAGAGCAGAGGAAGAUUGAGCUCGGGCCCAAAUAGAAACUGCAGGUGGGUUUGUGGAAGAGAGCAAGAGAUGACGCUGACGCUGCUGCCAUAUCCCAAAACAAUUUCAGGGAGAGAUUGGUUACUUUCAGCUUCUAUCUAAGCCCAUUAGUACUAGGCACUGUAAUUAUGGGCCUCUUUUGCAGAAAAACCUAAAUGGGUUUUGUAAAUAGUGGGCCUCUGCUUCCGCUUUUCUUUGCUCAAUACAAAUCAUAAAACUAAUCGCAAUUUGUCAACGCUUGCCGGCCAUCUGCCAAACAAGUACAACUUUACGUAGCCUUACAUAUUCACCUACCAAGUUACCAAAUCAACCCUCUUUGCUUCUAUAAAUAUAACUAGAUUUUGACCCGCGCAGGCGCGCGGAUGUAUAUUUGAAAAAUAUGUUGAUAUUUGUUUUUCUUGUAAUUAUUAGGAUUUGGAAAAAUGAAUCCGAGGAACAUAACCGAUACUGAUCCAAAAAUAUAGUACCAAACCCGAACAUAAAUUGAUUAAACAUUCUAAUUAUUCAAAAUUUUGUUAUUUAGAGAACCGAAUCUGAUCCGAACCGAAGUAUUUGGGUAUCCGAAUUUAUCUAAAAAUAGAUUUAUAUACUUAUAUAUAUUAAUUAUUUUUAGAUUUAACGUAUAUAAAACAUCAAAAAUGAUACUUUUAAAUUGGUUUAAAUACUUGAAAAUAUAUAUAGAUAGUCAAAAGUAAAUAUCUGAAAUAGUUAAAGUAUACUCAAAUCACCAAAAAUACUUAAAAUAAUUAUUGAUUCCGUAUCCAAAAUUUUAAAUCAAGCCAAUUGAUAUGUUAAGCUUAAGUAUUAUGACAUAUGUUAUUCAAAUUUAUACGUAAUAUAUUAUUUUAUUUAUACAUUUUGAGAAAUUUAAAAUAUAUAAUGAUUUAAGACUUUAAAAAUAAUUUAAAUUAGUUAUCCAAACCCAAACCAAACCCGCAAAGAUCCAAAUCGAACUCAAACCAAAAUUUAGAAACAUUCUAAUAAGGCUGAAAUCUUUGACCCCGAAAACCCAAAAUACAAACCGAUCAGAACUAAACCCGUAUGGGUAUCCAAAAGCCCAUCCCUAGUCAUUAUUAUAUAUCGUAUUUUAUCAUCAUAUAAUUAAUCGUAUUUUAUAUGUACCAUCAUAUAAGUAAUCAUAUAAUUAAUAGUAUUUUAUACAUACCAUCAUAUAAAUAAUUACAUAUAUUAUAUUUUUAAAACUUAAUAUGAAAUAUGAAAACCAUAAUUUGAGUUGGUAUUUCAAAUUGGGCUUUGUAUUAUAUUUUUCUUAUAUAUAUUGACAAUAUUUUUUUAUAAUGGUUAUUGAAAAAUAGUUUAGUAAAAAUCCAUUUUUGAAUAUAUGUAUAUUUUUGAAUCAAUUUUUGAUAUAAAUCAAAUUUGAAUUAUUAUUUUGAUUUGCAAUAUGUAUAUAAAGUUUAAAUUUUGUUUUAUGGUUAGUUUAGAAAAAUAAAAAUUUAGGCAAUUAGAUUGACCCAUUUUGGUAUAUUUUAAAAGUGGUCUAGAUAACUUUCAAUUUUUUUAAAAAACAUAAGCCCAUUACUUUUUUUCUUAAUACUACUAUCCUUGUUUUCAAACAAAAAUAUUUUUUUUAAAGGACUGCAAUCCAUGUUUCCAAACACUCUAAAUUUUUUAAUAAUCCUAUUCAAGUCUCCAAACACUCCAAUUUUGUACUUGAGUUUUAAUAAGAUAGAUACAACACGUUGGAGCUUUUAACAAAAUCAAACACAAGGCGCUUGUCGUGCACCUCACCUCUCACAAAAAACAUUUCUUCUGAUCCAGAUCCGAAGCUAUGGCCACUCCCAUUGCGUCGGAGCCAAGGAAGGUUGCGUUGGUCACCGGGAUCACUGGACAGGACGGAUCAUACCUGACGGAGUUCCUGCUCGGAAAAGGGUACCAAGUGCACGGCCUGAUCCGACGAUCCUCAAACUACAACACGCAGCGAAUCAACCAUAUCUACGUGGAUCCCCACAAUGCCACCAAAGCCCUCAUGAAGCUCCACUACGCCGAUCUCUCUGAUGCCUCCUCCCUCCGCCGUUGGCUCGACGUCAUCAAGCCCGACGAGGUCUACAACCUUGCUGCUCAGUCCCACGUCGCCGUCUCCUUCGAGAUCCCUGACUACACUGCUGACGUGGUCGCUACUGGAGCUCUCCGCCUCCUGGAGGCUCUCAGGUCUCACAUGGCUGACAAUGGCCGCACCGUCAAGUACUACCAGGCCGGAUCCUCGGAGAUGUUCGGGUCAACUCCUCCUCCGCAGUCUGAGACGACGCCGUUUCACCCGAGAUCUCCCUAUGCUGCCUCCAAAGUCGCGGCUCACUGGUACACCGUCAAUUACAGAGAAGCAUACGGCCUGUACGCCUGCAACGGGAUCCUGUUCAACCACGAGUCACCCCGCCGAGGCGAGAACUUCGUGACUCGGAAGAUAACACGGGCCUUGGGGAGGAUCAAGGUCGGGCUGCAGACGAAGCUCUUCCUCGGGAACAUACAGGCCUCCAGAGACUGGGGGUUCGCAGGGGACUACGUGGAGGCAAUGUGGCUGAUGCUGCAGCAGGAGAAACCAGAUGACUAUGUGGUGGCUACUGAGGAGUCGCACACCGUCGAGGAGUUUCUGGACGUCUCCUUCGGGUACCUCGGCCUCAACUGGAAAGACCACGUGGAGAUAGACAAGAGGUACUUCAGGCCUACGGAGGUUGACAAUCUCAAAGGAGAUGCGAGCAAGGCAAAGGAGUUGUUGAAGUGGAAGCCCAAGGUUGGGUUCGAGCAGCUGGUCAAGAUGAUGGUGGAUGAAGAUCUGGAGACGGCUAAGAGGGAGAAAGUGCUCGUCGAUGCUGGUUACAUUGACGCUCAGCAGCAACCUUAAUCUCCAUUCCAAGCAGCUGCCUGCCCCCAAAAAAAAAUAAGAGUUAUCAUUAUUAUCUGUGUUUUAUUUCAUGUUUUUUCCGUUUGUUGUUUUACUAUUUUCUUGUUUACAAAUGUUGUUAAACAUCAUUCACUGUGGAUUUUGUAUCAUUAGCAAACAAAGCGAAUAAAAUAUAUGAAUAUCUUUUUCUACAUCACAACAACGGCUUCGCGAUUAUGCAACUCAACUAAAAAGUAGCAGCAUCUUUCAUCAAUGCAAAAAUCAUAACAAUCUAGUGGGAUUUCGACUCACCAAAUUUAUAUAUGGUUGUGACUCUUAUACUUCCUGUUUAAAAGACAGACUAGUAGUAGUGAGUGUUUAUACUGACCGAAUCAGGUGGAGCAAGAACAAAGGGUGUCGCCAAGAAUCAAGGUCCCUCAAUUAUUUUUACAUAAUAAUCAUGAAAGAUGUAUGCCAGUUACUUAGCAACCUUCCUUUACCUGCAACACAUGAACUAAAAAUACGUCCCCGUAAGAAAAGUGGAGAAUUCAGUCAGUCUGGUAUAACAAUAAAUAUAGGGACCUUGAGAGAUAUAUAAUAAGAGCAAAGGUAUUAGAUAUGGGGAGAGAUGUAUGAUGAAUAAGGAAAACAAAAGCUUUUUGUUGAGCAAAGACGAGACAAAGCUGUUUCAUAGGAAUACAAAAAGCAAACAUGUAUUCCCCCCAAUCCCAAGGGAAAAAAGAUAAAAGAAGAAGAUGAUGGGUCCUAUCUCGUUGGAGGAGGUUGUUUAAGCAAUUUCAGAACGUUUUCGUAGACGAUGAACGUGCUGGAAGAAGCAGGCACAUUUUUUAAUAGAUUAGCUGUUAGUCCCCUGUAGAAACCUCUGAGACCCUCGAAUCUGCACCGUGAAGGCAAGAAAGAUAAUAGUAUAUGUUAUCUUCAGAUACAAUCAAGACCAAGAAUAGAUAUAUGCUCUUCUCUGACCUCGCGGUUUCUCUGAUGACAUGUAAGCUGUCUAUAUAUCUUGGGAUUCCGUUAGUACUAGGUCUUUGCUGAACAAUAGAGGAAUGUCUAUGACAGUCACACCUCAAAUACUGCUAGAGUUAAGAAGAGGUUGAAGCAAUUUACCUGUAAUCGUGCUCUAAUAACUUGAAAAGGAUAUGUAAGAAGAACUGCUGCGACUUUGGAGGAGCCUCCCAGUGCAGCAUAAUCCGCCGAGUUCUACAUAUAAAAAAUAAAAAGAAAUGCCAAAAAAGAUGACUUGGUCCUCCUACAUUGCCAAAUAAUCACAGUGUAAGAAGAAGAAGAAGAAGUCUGUACCAAUAAAUUAUCAGGUGUGGAUUCGGAUUUUCUUCUCUUCUCUUUCAUAUCGACAAUGACUUUACGGAGUUCCUCAUACGCUGUGAACUGAAUAGCACCAUGAGAAACCUGCUGAAGAAACUAAAUCAGGAUCAAACCCUUCCAAAAUAUGAAACUAUUUGUAAAAGCAAAAGGAAAGUGAGUGAGUGACUAACCAGUACAAGGCCAGGGACAAUACCCUUGUAGAGCGCCCUGGGUCCUUCCUCUUUCAUUAUGGUUCUAAAGGCAUCUGCAAAAAUUCACCAACAAAAAUUAAGAAAAGAAAAGAAGAAUGGAAAAAGUGAGUUUGUUAAGGAAGCAUAUGUGGAGACCUAAUAGGCCGGAGUAGGGUGGGGUUUGAUGAAGAGGUGUCUGAAGCUGUACCCUUGUCUUGACAAGCCAAAUAGGAUUCGUGCAUAAACAGACCUGAAAGUGUAUCAUAAGGUUGAGAUAAAAAAAAAAUAAAUAGAUGUUUUUAAGGGGGGGUGUGAGUUAGUAAUAACAAACCAAGGCUCCAGAUUCAGCGGCAGAAGCAAGGUGAAGGGGAGGGGUGAGUUUCUCAUCGUCCCUGCCUCUAGCGUAUCUCUCUUUCGCUCUUCCAUAACUAGAGAGAUGUAUUUGUUUCAGAGAGAGAGAGAGCUUGGGGUGGGGAUUGUAAAAGAGAGGAAAGAGGAGACAACUCACAAGAAGAAGUAUAAGCUCCAUGAGAGAGUGGAACCGAUUACAGCAGGGAAGAAACCUGCAUAAAGGCCUCUCAGACCCUACACCAGAGAAAAUGUAGCUUCAAUUCAGAAACGUGAAUGCAUGAGAAGAAGAUGGUUAAAGCAUACCUCGAGACGGCCAAUGGUGAAGAGAGCGUGAGCUGUGUUCUUGUACGUCGGGAACCCUCUACCGUCGUUCACUGUUUCAGACAAAAAUCUAGUUUCUUUUUUUUUUACUGUGGGAGUGGAAAAAGAAAUCAGACCUUGGAAUCUAGUACGGACAACAUCAAGAGGGUGCAUAGCAGCUACUGUUGCGAAUCCUGCGACUGCCCCCGCUGUGGCAUUUUCCCACUGCCAUGAUGGCGCCACCAUACCAUCAACCUGCACGCGAUUGGCCUACAGAGCUCAAAUGAGUCGCAAGUAAAUGGCUGAUGAGAGAGAGAGAUAGAUCCGGAGUCCUCCUCCGCUUUACUCUCCGACGCUUCCUUGAGUUCCCGUCUCAGAUUUGUGAAGCUUUAAAGCCCAUUUAUGCUUUCCGAGGCCCAACAACACCUACAAUUAAAAGCCCCAUCCUUACCUUUGUUAUUUAUUCCCAUUAAUCGCCCAAUACUUUUACAUUGCUUAAAAAAAAUAUAUCAUCAUAAUGAUCAACUAGAUUUGACCCGCGCUUAGAAAGCGCGGGUUUUUCUAAAAGUAUAAACAAUUUGAUAUGAAUUAAUAUUUGUAGAUUGUUGUACAUUAUUAUGUUACAAAAUAUUAUUAUAUUGAGGCAGAUAAAUUUUGUAAAAUUAUAUAAUUCAUAAAUAAGUUUAUUUAAGAUUUUGUGUGUACAUUUUUAUUUAAUUCUUUUGGUCUGUAUAUUUUAUCUGGACCAAAAACACAAACCAAGACCGACUUGAAAAUAUAGGUUUGGUUCGAGUCCAGGAUAAAGUAUCUAUUGGUUAUUUUUUAAGAUCCACAGGUUUUGAUCUGGUCCGGAUCAUACCCGAAACCUUACGUCGCUUCUGGUGGAUAGGUUUGAACGUUGGGUCGACGUUUAGUUCGUGAGUCGUUAUAGUCGGGUCGAUGCCCUUCAUGUCUGCCAUAGACCAAGCGAAUGUAGACACGUUCUUUCUGAGGAAAUCCAGAACUGGCUGCUGCAUUUCCUCGGAAAGGUAUGCACCAACCCUUACGGUUCGACUUUGAUCGGCGUCGUCAAUAGGUAACUCGAGAACCUCACUUUCCUGGGAACAGACUUUUGAGCUUGGGGGAGACACAGAAUUAACGGGUAGAGAUGACUGUUGAAGUUUGACUGUGGCGACUAGGAGAUCCCUAGCGGCCUUUUGAUCACCUCGCAACGUUUUUAUCUUUCCGUCUUAUAUAGAAGUGACUAAAUUAUUAUUAGAGAAAUAUAAAGUAAUAUAUUAUUAGUCAAUUAUUAUGGUAAGACCAAAAAUAUUGUUAGUUAAUGAAAGGGUCCAAACAACAUUUUUAAGUAGAUUUUUCAAAAAUGCUUCAUUUUUAAUAGAAUAGAUGCACGUUGCAAAUUUAAUACUCUAGAUCUUGCGGAUGUUGGAUUUAACUUGCGUUCAAUGUAAAUUUAUAAACUAUUUAUUUUAUAAAAUGUCUAUUUAUAUUUUUAUGUUUUGUAAAAUAUAUUUAGUGUAGAAUAUAUUAUAUUAUAAUAUAGAUAUUUGAUAAUAAUUUUUUAUCUGUACGUAAUAUUAUAUUUAUAAUUUGAUAAUUUGAUGCAAUUUUAUGUAAUUGUAAUAUUCAUAUAUUAACCUAUUGAUUUUUUGUUUAUUUAUUUAAAAAUAAUUUAAUUUUUUUACAGUAAAUUUUUAUGAAUUAUUAUUAAUUUUAUGAUAUUUGGUUUUCUUGAAAAUUGUAUUGUAGCAGAUUUAUAUAUACUAUAUAUUACAGUUUGUAUUUUUAAUUUCAGCAAAAAAAUAACAAUUCAUUGUAAUUAAUUAAUUUAAUUUUUUUUAUUUUAAGUGAAAUUGCAUAUUUGUAAAUAAGAUAGAAAUGCAAUGGCAUUUAGUCAAAUCUUAUUCCAAAACCGAGAUGUUUGUACGGUUAAUUAUUAUAAAUAGUGUUAUAUCUUUUUAUAACUGAAAAAUAUGUUUUAAGAUAACAACACAAUGUAAAAAUUAUCUUUUUGAAAAAAAAAAUAUUAUAAAUAAAAAAUUCAUUUUUGAUUAUAUAGUUAAUUAUAUAUAUAUAUAUAUCCAUUAAGUGUAAUAUAGAUAUUAACCGCUUUAACUUUUAACGUGAGAGCUUUGUUGCUAAAAUUUAUUUUGCAAAUAAUAGUAUAGAUCAUAUGGUUGACUUUAAUCCUAGAACCACAAUAAAAAAGGACAACGCUAACUAUUGUGCAAGCAAAGUGAUAACAAUCUCAAAGAGAUAUAAGAACUAAAAAA
rnacentral:lncRNA from 1 species